AGUGGCGGACGGGUGAGUAACGCGUGAGAAUCUGGCUUCAGGUUCGGGACAACAGUUGGAAACGACUGCUAAUACCGGAUAAGCCUAAGGGUGAAAGAUUAAUUGCCUGAAGAUGAGCUCGCGUCCGAUUAGUUAGUUGGUGUGGUAAAGGCGCACCAAGGCAGCGAUCGGUAGCUGGUCUGAGAGGACGAUCAGCCACACUGGGACUGAGACACGGCCCAGACUCCUACGGGAGGCAGCAGUGGGGAAUUUUCCGCAAUGGGCGAAAGCCUGACGGAGCAAUACCGCGUGAGGGAGGAAGGCUCUUGGGUUGUAAACCUCUUUUCUCAAGGAAUAAGAUUGAAGGUACUUGAGGAAUAAGCAUCGGCUAACUCCGUGCCAGCAGCCGCGGUAAUACGGAGGAUGCAAGCGUUAUCCGGAAUGAUUGGGCGUAAAGCGUUCGUAGGUGGUUAUCCAAGUCGGCUGUUAAAGAGUCUGGCUUAACCAGAUAAGGGCAGUGGAAACUGGAAGACUAGAGUAUGGUAGGGGUAGAGGGAAUUCCUGGUGUAGCGGUGAAAUGCGUAGAGAUCAGGAAGAACACCGGUGGCGAAAGCGCUCUACUGGACCGAGACUGACACUGAGGGACGAAAGCUAGGGGAGCGAAUGGGAUUAGAUACCCCAGUAGUCCUAGCCGUAAACGAUGGAUACUAGGCGUUG
rnacentral:rRNA from 1 species